UCUAAUAUGGCAGAAAUUCUAUGCAAUGAACUUAAAAUUCAUUUAUAAAGAUUAAUCUUUUUUUAGAA
rnacentral:tRNA from 1 species